rnacentral:rRNA from 1 species
UCGAUUCCCUUAGUAGCGGCGAGCGAAACGGGAAGAGCCCAAACCAACAAGCUUGCUUGUUGGGGUUGUAGGACACUCUAUACGGAGUUACAAAGGACGACAUUAGACGAAUCAUCUGGAAAGAUGAAUCAAAGAAGGUAAUAAUCCUGUAGUCGAAAAUGUUGUCUCUCUUGAGUGGAUCCUGAGUACGACGGAGCACGUGAAAUUCCGUCGGAAUCUGGGAGGACCAUCUCCUAAGGCUAAAUACUCUCUAGUGACCGAUAGUGAACCAGUACCGUGAGGGAAAGGUGAAAAGCACCCCGGAAGGGGAGUGAAAUAGAACCUGAAACCGUGUGCUUACAAGUAGUCAGAGCCCGUUAAUGGGUGAUGGCGUGCCUUUUGUAGAAUGAACCGGCGAGUUACGAUUUGAUGCAAGGUUAAGCAGUAAAUGUGGAGCCGUAGCGAAAGCGAGUCUGAAUAGGGCGUUUAGUAUUUGGUCGUAGACCCGAAACCAGGUGAUCUACCCUUGGUCAGGUUGAAGUUCAGGUAACACUGAAUGGAGGACCGAACCGACUUACGUUGAAAAGUGAGCGGAUGAACUGAGGGUAGCGGAGAAAUUCCAAUCGAACCUGGAGAUAGCUGGUUCUCUCCGAAAUAGCUUUAGGGCUAGCCUCAAGUGAUGAUUAUUGGAGGUAGAGCACUGUUUGGACGAGGGGCCCCUCUCGGGUUACCGAAUUCAGACAAACUCCGAAUGCCAAUUAAUUUAACUUGGGAGUCAGAACAUGGGUGAUAAGGUCCGUGUUCGAAAGGGAAACAGCCCAGACCACCAGCUAAGGUCCCAAAAUAUAUGUUAAGUGGAAAAGGAUGUGGCGUUGCCCAGACAACUAGGAUGUUGGCUUAGAAGCAGCCAUCAUUUAAAGAGUGCGUAAUAGCUCACUAGUCGAGUGACACUGCGCCGAAAAUGUACCGGGGCUAAACAUAUUACCGAAGCUGUGGAUUGUCCUUUGGACAAUGGUAGGAGAGCGUUCUAAGGGC